rnacentral:rRNA from 1 species
UACGAAGGGGGCUAGCGUUGCUCGGAUUGACUGGGCGUAAAGGGCGCGUAGGCGGAUAGUAGAGUCAGGCGUGAAAUUCCUGGGCUCAACCUGGGGGCUGCGUUUGAUACGUGUUGUCUGGAGUUCGGAAGAGGGUCGUGGAAUUCCCAGUGUAGAGGUGAAAUUCGUAGAUAUUGGGAAGAACACCGGUGGCGAAGGCGGCGACCUGGUCCGAUACUGACGCUGAGGCGCGAAAGCGUGGGGAGCAAACAGG